rnacentral:rRNA from 1 species
AUGAACGCUGGCGGCGUGCCUAAUACAUGCAAGUCGCGCGAACGGACGAGAAGCUUGCUUUUCUGAUGUUAGCGGCGGACGGGUGAGUAACACGUGGAUAACCUACCUAUAAGACUGGGAUAACUUCGGGAAACCGGAGCUAAUACCGGAUAAUAUUUUGAACCGCAUGGUUCAAAAGUGAAAGACGGUCUUGCUGUCACUUAUAGAUGGAUCCGCGCUGCAUUAGCUAGUUGGUAAGGUAACGGCUUACCAAGGCAGCGAUGCAUAGCCGACCUGAGAGGGUGAUCGGCCACACUGGAACUGAGACACGGUCCAGACUCCUACGGGAGGCAGCAGUAGGGAAUCUUCCGCAAUGGGCGAAAGCCUGACGGAGCAACGCCGCGUGAGUGAUGAAGGUCUUCGGAUCGUAAAACUCUGUUAUUAGGGAAGAACAUAUGUGUAAGUAACUGUGCACAUCUUGACGGUACCUAAUCAGAAAGCCACGGCUAACUACGUG